CAAUAGCAUAUAUUAACGUUGUUGCAGUUGAAAAGCUCGUAGUUGAACUUUUGGUAGGAGCGACCUGGCCUUGGGCGCAUGCCCUUGUUUGCCGUGUGUCGUAUCUGGCCAUCCUUUUCCGUUUCGGCGGGAAUCCUUUACUGUGAGUAAACUGGAGUGCUCAAAACAAGACGUUUGUUUGGUACAUUAAAGCAUGGAAUAAUAAGAUAGGACCUGGUUACUAUUUUGUUGGUUUGCAUAGCUAGGUAAUGAUUAACAGGGACAGUUGGGGGUAUUCGUAUUUAAUUGUCAGAGGUGAAAUUCUUGGAUUUAUGAAAGACGAACGACUGCGAAAGCAUUUACCAAGGAUGUUUUCAUUA
rnacentral:rRNA from 1 species